CAGAGUUGAAAAACUCCCAAACCCCUGUGAACAUACCUUUAACGUUGCUUCGGCGGGUGGCCCCCUCACAGGGGCCGCACAGCCCGCCGGAGGUAUACAAACUCUUGUAUUUUUGUUUUCUCUGAGUUGUCUUUUAAAUAAGUC
rnacentral:misc_RNA from 1 species